AGCUUGGUGCUUGCACCGAGCGGAUGAGUUGCGAACGGGUGAGUAACGCGUAGGUAACCUGCCUGGUAGCGGGGGAUAACUAUUGGAAACGAUAGCUAAUACCGCAUAACAGUCGACAUUGCAUGAUGUUGAUUUGAAAGGGGCAAUUGCUCCACUACCAGAUGGACCUGCGUUGUAUUAGCUAGUUGGUGAGGUAACGGCUCACCAAGGCGACGAUACAUAGCCGACCUGAGAGGGUGAUCGGCCACACUGGACUGAGACACGGCCCAGACUCCUACGGGAGGCAGCAGUAGGGAAUCUUCGGCAAUGGACGGAAGUCUGACCGAGCAACGCCGCGUGAGUGAAGAAGGUUUUCGGAUCGUAAAGCUCUGUUGUAAGAGAAGAACGAGUGUGAGAGUGGAAAGUUCACACUGUGACGGUAACUUACCAGAAAGGGACGGCUAACUACGUGCCAGCAGCCGCGGUAAUACGUAGGUCCCGAGCGUUAUCCGGAUUUAUUGGGCGUAAAGCGAGCGCAGGCGGUUAGAUAGGUCUGAAGUUAAAGGCUGUGGCUUAACCAUAGUACGCUCUGGAAACUGUUUAACUUGAGUGCAGAAGGGGAGAGUGGAAUUCCAUGUGUAGCGGUGAAAUGCGUAGAUAUAUGGAGGAACACCGGUGGCGAAAGCGGCUCUCUGGUCUGUAACUGACGCUGAGGCUCGAAAGCGUGGG
rnacentral:rRNA from 1 species